rnacentral:rRNA from 1 species
AACAGGAUUAGAUACCCUGGUAGUCCAUGCCGUAAACGUUGGGCACUAGGUGUGGGGCUCAUUCCACGAGUUCCGUGCCGCAGCAAACGCAUUAAGUGCCCCGCCUGGGGAGUACGGCCGCAAGGCUAAAACUCAAAGGAAUUGACGGGGGCCCGCACAAGCGGCGGAGCAUGCGGAUUAAUUCGAUGCAACGCGAAGAACCUUACCAAGGCUUGACAUAUACCGAAAGCUCAUGGAGACAUGGGGUCCGCAAGGGCGGUAUACAGGUGGUGCAUGGUUGUCGUCAGCUCGUGUCGUGAGAUGUUGGGUUAAGUCCCGCAACGAGCGCAACCCUCGUCCUAUGUUGCCAGCGCAUCAUGGUGGGGACUCAUAGGAGACUGCCGGGGUCAACUCGGAGGAAGGUGGGGAUGACGUCAAAUCAUCAUGCCCCUUAUGUCUUGGGCUUCACGCAUGCUACAAUGGCCGGUACAAAGGGCUGCGAUACCGCAAGGUGGAGCGAAUCCCAAAAAGCCGGUCUCAGUUCGGAUUGGGGUCUGCAACUCGACCCCAUGAAGUCGGAGUCGCUAGUAAUCGCAGAUCAGCAACGCUGCGGUGAAUACGUUCCCGGGCCUUGUACACACCGCCCGUCAAGUCACGAAAGUCGGUAACACCCGAAGCCGGUGGCCCAACCCUUGUGGAGGGAGCCGUCGAAGGUGGGACCAGCGAUUGGGACUAAGUCGUAACAAGGUAACC